rnacentral:rRNA from 1 species
CAUUUAAAGAGUGCGUAACAGCUCACUAGUCGAGCGCUCGAGCGCGGAAAAUGAUCGGGUAUCAAGUAUUGUACCGAAGCUAUGGGCUCGUAAGAGCGGUAGGGGAGCAUUCCAGCGACACUGAAGGUGUGGCGUAAGCCAUGCUGGAGUUUCUGGAAAAGAAAAUGUAGGCAUAAGUAACGAUAAAACAAGUGAAAAACUUGUUCGCCGUAAGACUAAGGGUUCCUGAUCUAUGCUAAUCAGAUCAGGGUUAGUCGGGUCCUAAGGUUA